UACGUAGGCAGCGAGCGUUGUUCGGAGUUACUGGGCGUAAAGAGUGCGUAGGCGGUUUUCUAAGUUUGGUGUGAAAUCUCCCGGCUUAACCUGGGAAUGGCAUUUGGGACUGCAAGGCUGGAGUGCGGCAGAGGAGACUGGAAUUCCUGGUGUAGCAGUGAAAUGCGUAGAUAUCAGGAGGAACACCGAUGGCGAAGGCAGGUCUCUGGGCUGACACUGACGCUCAUGCACGAAAGCGUGGGGAGCAAACAGG
rnacentral:rRNA from 1 species